rnacentral:rRNA from 1 species
UACACUCCUACGGGAGGCAGCAGUGGGGAAUAUUGGCCAAUGGGCGCAAGCCUGAUCCAGCCAUGCCGCGUGAGUGAUGAAGGCCCUAGGGUUGUAAAGCUCUUUCACCGGUGAAGAUAAUGACGGUAACCGGAGAAGAAGCCCCGGCUAACUUCGUGCCAGCAGCCGCGGUAAUACGAAGGGGGCUAGCGUUGUUCGGAUUUACUGGGCGUAAAGCGCACGUAGGCGGACUAUUAAGUCAGGGGUGAAAUCCCGGGGCUCAACCCCGGAACUGCCUUUGAUACUGGUAGUCUUGAGUUCGAGAGAGGUGAGUGGAAUUCCGAGUGUAGAGGUGAAAUUCGUAGAUAUUCGGAGGAACACCAGUGGCGAAGGCGGCUCACUGGCUCGAUACUGACGCUGAGGUGCGAAAGCGUGGGGAGCAAACAGGAUUAGAAACCCUAGUAGUCC